UGUGGAAGCAAUAUAUCGAUGUGUUCAAGG
rnacentral:piRNA from 1 species